rnacentral:rRNA from 1 species
AGCGGCGGAUGGGUGAGUAACACGUGGGGAACCCGCCCCUAAGUCUGGGAUACCAUUUGGAAACAGGUGCUAACACCGGAUAAUAAAGCAGAUCGCAUGAUCAGCUUUUGAAAGGCGGCGUAAGCUGUCGCUAAGGGAUGGCCCCGCGGUGCAUUAGCUAGUUGGUAAGGUAACGGCUUACCAAGGCGACGAUGCAUAGCCGAGUUGAGAGACUGAUCGGCCACAUUGGGACUGAGACACGGCCCAAACUCCUACGGGAGGCAGCAGUAGGGAAUCUUCCACAAUGGACGCAAGUCUGAUGGAGCAACGCCGCGUGAGUGAAGAAGGUUUUCGGAUCGUAAAGCUCUGUUGUUGGUGAAGAAGGAUAGAGGUAGUAACUGGCCUUUAUUUGACGGUAAUCAACCAGAAAGUCACGGCUAACUACGUGCCAGCAGCCGCGGUAAUACGUAGGUGGCAAGCGUUGUCCGGAUCUAUUGGGCGUAAAGCGAGCGCAGGCGGAAAAAUAAGUCUAAUGUGAAAGCCCUCGGCUUAACCGAGGAACUGCAUCGGAAACUGUUUUUCUUGAGCGCAGAAGAGGAGAGUGGAACUCCAUGUGUAGCGGUGGAAUGCGUAGAUAUAUGGAAGAACACCAGUGGCGAAGGCGGCUCUCUGGUCUGCAACUGACGCUGAGGCUCGAAAGCAUGGGUAGCGAACAGGAUUAGAUACCCUGGUAGUCCAUGCCGUAAACGAUGAGUGCUAAGUGU